AAUUUUGGACAAUGGGCGCAAGCCUGCCCCAGCCAUGCCGCGCGCGUGAAGAAUGCCUUCGGGUUGUAAAGCUCUCUCGGACGGAAAGAAAUCGCGCAGGCUAAUACGCUACGCGGAUGACGGCACCCUCAUAUGAAGCACCGGCUACCUACGUGCCAGCAGCCGCGGUAAUACGAAGGGUGCGAGCGUUAACUGGAAUUGCUGGGCGUAAAGCGUGCGCAGGCGGUGGAUGAAGACAGGCGUGAAAUCCCAGGGCUUAACCUGGGAACUGCGCUUGUGACUGGUCAGCUAGAGUACGGCAGAGGGGGGUGGAAUUCCACGUGUAGCAGUGAAAUGCGUAGAGAUGUGGAGGAACAGCGAUGGCGAAGGCAGCCCCCUGGGCCGAUACUGACGCUCAUGCACGAAAGCGUGGGUAGCAAACAGG
rnacentral:rRNA from 1 species